UACGUAGGCAGCGAGCGUUGUUCGGAGUUACUGGGCGUAAAGGGUGUGUAGGCGGUUGUUUAAGUUUGGUGUGAAAUCUCCCGGCUCAACUGGGAGGGUGCGCCGAAUACUGAAUGACUUCGAGUGCGGGAGAGGAGAGUGGAAUUCCUGGUGUAGCGGUGAAAUGCGCAGAUAUCAGGAGGAACACCGGUGGCGAAGGCGGGUCUCUGGGCCGAUACUGACGCUGAGGAGCGAAAGCGUGGGGGAGCAAACAGG
rnacentral:rRNA from 1 species